UUAGAUUUGCUGCCUCUUCAUUUGCUGUGUGAGGGCCAUUUUCCUUUAAUUAAUGGGCCUCAUGAUAAUCUCAGCUGUAAAAUCCUGCUUUCUAGCAUCUGGGUUGUCUUGGGACUGAUCUGUGUUGCUUGUGCUGCUUCGUUGAGGAUGGAAAAUGAAGAUGCAGGGGACCUUUCUUAAAGUCAUCUCAAAUGUACAAGCUCAGAUGUGGAAAAACUCCUUUGGUGAAGAAUUAUUUACUGAGAAAGCGUGGAAAUAAGGGAAAAGGAGGAAGACUGGACCUCACAGUUGGUUGAGCUAUGCCUUCUGUGUGGACUGAGUUACAGGGAAGUUACUGAAGCUCCCUGGGCCUUUUUUUUUUUAAUGUAAAAACUGAGGACAUACACUAGACUUCUGAGCCCCACCAAGCUCUUAACUGCAACUAUUCCAUCCCUAGAAAGAGCCAUAAGCAAGGUGGUUUGCCAUUAUUAAGGCAUUCCCAGGUGCAGAAAUCAAAGGCAAUUCUGUAGUAAAAUAUACUCAAUGGAAACUCUAAACCAGUGGGAGUCCUUCACACUUUAGUAUAAAAGCAAACACAUACUAUGAAUAUCUGACAUAAAACUGAGGCCAGAAUCAACAAUUCGGGGUGCUUUCUCCCUCCUUCCACUUUUCUUAUUUUUUCCCUGAAUGUUAGCUUAUUUCACCUUCAUAACAGCCACUAAGGUAGAUACAUGAGUUUUUAUUUCUUCUUUGUUUUUUUUAACUGAGGAAAUGGAGUUUCAUGAUUAUAUGCAAAUCAUUUGUGGCCCCAGGGGUGGUAAACUCAAGAAAAUGUAUUCAAAAAUGUAUUCAAACUGAAAACAUAUAAAUAAUAAAUAGUACUGAAUUUGUUUA